rnacentral:misc_RNA from 1 species
AACCUAGCACACCUGCGGUGUGUACCUGCGGAAGGAUCAUUACACAACAAAAUAUGAAGGUCUGGCUUCGCGGCCGGCUGAAGUAUUUUUUUUCACCCAUGUCUUUUGCGCACUUGUUGUUUCCUGGGCGGGUUCGCCCGCCACCAGGACCAAACCAUAAACCUUUUUUUUAUGUAGUUGCAAUCAGCGUCAGUAAAAACAAUGUAAUUAUUACAACUUUCAGCAACGGAUCUCAGAUCG